rnacentral:rRNA from 1 species
CAGUCGCCACGGUAAUACGUAGGGUGCAAGCGUUAAUCGGAAUUACUGGGCGUAAAGCGUGCGCAGGCGGUUAUAUAAGACAGAUGUGAAAUCCCCGGGCUCAACCUGGGAACUGCAUUUGUGACUGUAUAGCUAGAGUACGGCAGAGGGGGAUGGAAUUCCGCGUGUAGCAGUGAAAUGCGUAGAUAUGCGGAGGAACACCGAUGGCGAAGGCAAUCCCCUGGGCCUGUACUGACGCUCAUGCACGAAAGCGUGGGGAGCAAACAGGAUUAGAUACCCUAGUAGUCCCUGUCUCUUAUAC